CUGAAGCAUCUAACUUAUGAGGACACACUGGGAGAGUUGGGCUUACUCAGCCUGGAGAAGAGAAGGCUCUGGGGAGACCUUAGAGCAGGUUCCAGUAC